rnacentral:rRNA from 1 species
AGCUCACACUAUUAAUGAAAACUAAUUUCUUCCCAGUUGACAGAGCUUUACGACCCAAAGGCCUUCUUCACUCACGCGGCGUUGCUGCGUCAGGGUUGCCCCCAUUGCGCAAAAUUCC